GACGAACGCUGGCGGCGUGCCUAAUACAUGCGAGUAGAACGCUGAAGCGAGGAGCUUGCUCUUCUUGGAUGAGUUGCGAACGGGUGAGUAACGCGUAGGUAACCUGCCUUGUAGCGGGGGAUAACUAUUGGAAACGAUAGCUAAUACCGCAUAACAAUGGAUGACACAUGUCAUUUAUUUGAAAGGGGCAAUUGCUCCACUACAAGAUGGACCUGCGUUGUAUUAGCUAGUAGGUGAGGUAACGGCUCACCUAGGCGACGAUACAUAGCCGACCUGAGAGGGUGAUCGGCCACACUGGGACUGAGACACGGCCCAGACUCCUACGGGAGGCAGCAGUAGGGAAUCUUCGGCAAUGGGGGCAACCCUGACCGAGCAACGCCGCGUGAGUGAAGAAGGUUUUCGGAUCGUAAAGCUCUGUUGUAAGUCAAGAACGAGUGUGAGAGUGGAAAGUUCACACUGUGACGGUAGCUUACCAGAAAGGGACGGCUAACUACGUG
rnacentral:rRNA from 1 species